CCCUUAGAUGUUCUGGGCCGCACGCGCGCUACACUGAUGCAUUCCACAAGCCUAGCCUUGACCGAGAGGUCCGGGUAAUCUUUGAAACUGCAUCGUGAUGGGGCUAGAUUAUUGCAAUUAUUAAUCUUCAACGAGGAAUGCCUAGUAAGCGUGAUUCAUCAAAUCGCGUUGAUUACGUCCCUGCCCUUUGUACACACCGCCCGUCGCUCCUACCGAUUGAAUGUGUUGGUGAGGAGCUCGGAUUGGCAGCAGUUGGUGGUUCGCCACCGGCUAUUGCUGAGAAGUCCUCCAAACCGCCCCAUUUAGAGGAAGGAGAAGUCGUAACA
rnacentral:rRNA from 1 species